UAGGCAAAUAGGGAAAUAACGUUUCGGUC
rnacentral:piRNA from 1 species